AUUGAACGCUGGCGGCAGGCUUAACACAUGCAAGUCGAACGGAGUGGCGGACGGGUGAGUAAUGCCUAGGAAUCUGCCUGGUAGUGGGGGAUAACGUCCGGAAACGGGCGCUAAUACCGCAUACUAUCAGAUGAGCCUAGGUCGGAUUAGCUAGUUGGUGGGGUAAAGGCCUACCAAGGCGACGAUCCGUAACUGGUCUGAGAGGAUGAUCAGUCACACUGGAACUGAGACACGGUCCAGACUCCUACGGGAGGCAGCAGUGGGGAAUAUUGGACAAUGGGCGAAAGCCUGAGCCAGCCAUGCCGCGUGAGUGAUGACGGCCUUCGGGUUGUAAAGCUCUGUUAAUCGGGACGCGGUACCGGAAUAGAAAGCCACGGCUAACUACGUGCCAGCCGCCGCGGUAAUUC
rnacentral:rRNA from 1 species